GGUGUGGUGUAGUGGUUUAGGGUUAGACCAUGACUCUGAAGACCAGGGUUUGAAUCCCCACAUUACCA